rnacentral:siRNA from 1 species
ACACAGAUUUCGGACCUCGUUUCC